rnacentral:rRNA from 1 species
UACGUAGGGUCCGAGCGUUGUCCGGAUUUACUGGGCGUAAAGAGCGUGUAGGCGGCCAAGCAGGUCCGUUGUGAAAACUGGAGGCUUAACCUCCAGACGUCGACGGAAACCGCGUGGCUAGAGUCCGGAAGAGGAGAGUGGAAUUCCUGGUGUAGCGGUGAAAUGCGCAGAUAUCAGGAAGAACACCAAUGGCGAAGGCAGCUCUCUGGGACGGUACUGACGCUGAGACGCGAAAGCGUGGGGAGCAAACAGG